rnacentral:lncRNA from 1 species
UUCUCAUUUCUCACACAGAAGAAUUAUAUAUAAGAAGUUCAACCUUUCCACAUUUUGUCUCAAUAUUUGUUUUGUUCAAAUACCGCUGUAAUAAACUACACUUCAACCUAAGAUUAAUCUCUUAAAAUACAGAAAAUCAUUACAUGUAUUAUGUAUGCAUAUUCCUAGCAUGACAACCCACUGAUAUUGCUCUCGACUUGGUCUGUAUUAGCAUCACAACUUCAUGUGCUUACUUAAUCCAAGUCAUGGCCGGAUGUGCAUAUCAGCAUAUGCUUCAAGCAAGCUAUGGUUGAAGAAAACCACCAUGUCCCUCUCUUGUUUCUAUCAAUUUGCAGUCCUCCCUUCAUGCUUAGGAGGCCCUGAAGCCCUCUUCUUCACCCAAACAGUAUACCUAGAAGAGUUCACUGAUUAGUGUCAUGAUAAAAAAUGAUGCAAACUGAUGAAAGCUCUCAAGAUAACAAAGCUUUUAGACAAAACAGAAUGGCCAUUCAACCUCUAGUGAAUAAACAAUAUAAUGACGAUUAGUGCUAGAGAAUUAAUUAAAUUAUAGCAUUGGACAUCAAAUAAAUUUGAAUGAAGUGAAGAAAGAGGUACAACAAAAAGCAGGCGUCUUGAGUAAUGAUUAACCUACACAUAUCAUACAUGAAUGAGGGAGGGAGGAAUUUGAAAUUUUAGUGGCAAUAAGAAUGACAUGGUUUCGAUUCUGAAUCUCUACUGGGAUGAAAGUGAAAAUACAGUGGGAACAUAGCAUCACAAACCAAUGAUUGCAUUGCCUGCUACUCUGCACAUGGCUGCAAUAAGCAUACCUAUAUGAAUGCUCUAGAAUUCUGGCAGGAUAUCACAUACACACUAAAUGUGUAGCUCCUCUGCUCCUCCGGCUGUGGGAUUUUUUUUGGGUAACAGAUGCCUGAACCAUGGCGUCUUUGCUUGCUUAUCUGCACACACGAAUCAUGUAAAAGUGUCACAACAACCCAUCGGGGCACCCAUCAGAUCUAAUAAGAGAUGGCUUGAUCAGCAACGGUGGACGAAGGAACAAAUCAUCGUCAGGGAGCGCAUUCAUAUCAAAAUAGCGAUCGAUAUGACGGAGGUGUUAGUCACCAUCAUGCUAGCCGACAAGAUGUGGUCCUCGAGAAAACGUUAUCUAAAUACAGGCUAUAGUUUGUGUGCAAGUCUGCACAAUUUAGAAACCUAAUGUUCUGUCAGUAUCUAAGGAACAAGUUAACAAAACCAAUUUACAGAAGCAGCAAAAAAGCAUGCCUUUGUUGAAGGCUAUGAAUAAACAAAAAGUUUCCACAAACAGACAAAUGCUAGAAUUAUCUUGCUCUGACACUUCACUCUGAAUCAUCUACAAAUGAAUCAAACAGUUGAAUUAAAUUUGGUUGCCUAGAUUUAGAAAAAUUGUAUACCUGACAGGGACCACCAUUUAUGAUUUCUACAUCGCUAGGGAUAGGAAGGUUCUACAUAUUUCAUUGAGCACCUCCGGUACACAACAAGCAAGCAAAUCGACAGUGUAUCCACAGACCUGUACAUCUCAUGCUUCAUGCUCAGAUCACUGGGGACUGCAAGAGAAGCAAUCAGAGCUCAGUGGGACAUCCUAUUCCUCAAGAGGAAUACUGAUGAUAAUUUGACAUGGAAAAGUGUAUGUGGACCUGAUAGCACUAUAUGCAAAUCACUCAAGGUAAAUGACAGUGACAACAAUAAUAUAUAAUUUGGUUAAAUUGAAUGGAAUCUUAUAUUUUUACAAUUUCUCUGUCUAGGCACGAAUCAAGACGGCGUUGGGGCAAAGGCAAAAUCUAUGUUCCUCAUCUCAAUCUAGGAAAAUGUAUGCUGAGUUUGAUUCACUGAUAGUGAGUCUGCAUUUUGCUACUAUGAUGCACAUAGCACGGAAGAUUGGGACAUGAAUUUCAGAUACCAGGUCGCAGGAGUCGUGCACCUGUAGGAGACGGGAGACUGGCAGUGGGCAGGCGCGGCCAUGACAAUCGUCCUCGGUGGCAGCCUGCCAUCCGUAGCGGUUCUAGCUCGGUGCUCGAUGGCCGUCCUCGGUGGCAGCCUGCCAUCCGUAGCGGUUCUAGCUCGGUGCUCGAUGGCCGUCCUCGGUGGCAGUUCCUGGAGUCCUCGACGGCAGCGCCAGUAGACCUCAAGCAGAUCCUGCCGCUCGCCCCGCACGGUGUUGUGCUCACGACACGCCGGCGCGCCGCUCCGUGCCUUCUUUUUGCGUCGGCAUAACGCCGCCGCAAGGCCGAUUCCCAUGCGUGGCCCUGAUCUGACCGCCACGGCCCCGCAUGGCAAUCAGGCCUCACCGGCGCGCGGAUCCGGCCGUUGCCUUCCCUGCUGCGCGUCACCUCCCGCCAGACGCUACAUCCGCCUACAGAGUCGUAUGCCGCCGCUUCCCCUGGCCCUCUCCCCUGUGGUGGCCGCGCUGGCGACCAGAGAGAGCACCACCGCGCCUCCCCUUGUCUCCCGCUGGUGGCUGCACUCCUUCCCGGCUCCGGCUUCCAGCGCACGCCCCUCCGGGCCGAUACGGCGAAGAGCGCGCCGACGAGGGCGUUGUACGGGCGGCGGGGAGAGCCCCCGGGAGGGUGUUGCGGGGGCAGUUCGUGCGAGGAUUGAGGAUUGGGGGCGAAGGGGGAUGAUGAUGAGGCUGCUGCGGCCGGGGACGAGAUAGGGAGGCAGAGGCGGAGGGCCGGGGCGGUGGUGGUAGUACUACUAAGGCCUUGUACAACGCCGAUGCUUGUGCACCGGUGCUAGCUGCAUGACGCCUCGAAAAUUUCUUUAAUCCUCAACGCGUAGUGCUUGGUAUGGGGUGCUAGCUGGGCCCUUUUU